UUUGGCACCGAGUGUCCGCCAGGCAUCGCUCUAAGCGCUUUAUACCCAUAACUCACUUCAUCUCAGCCACCCGGUUCCGUAGAAGCGUUUCAUCCGCGUUUUACAGACGUGUGCAGGAAAGAUUCUGAAGCUUGGCGGAGAGGGGUGUGUGAGUGGACACCAGUGAAGUAACGGUUUUUGUGUUACGAUGAUUUCUGUUUUCCUCUGCUGCCCUGUAAUGGCAGGAACUCGGAUAGUCUGGUCUUCAGACCAGGAGGACUCCCAGGAGAGAACGGAGAGCCAGUGUGCUGUGUGUCACGGUCCCUGGAUGAACGUUUGUGGAACUGGAUUGAAUUAAACAAGACGUGCAAAGCAAGUGGUUCACGAGAUUCGAUUGCUGUAGGGACCCCGUGGGUGUGGAAUCAGACAGUAUUGGUCCUUUCAUGACUGGCUUAUUUCACAAAACCCGAUGCCGUCGAGGUCCAUCCAUGCUGAGGCAGGUGUCUGACUCCCUUCACUCUGUUUGGCUGAGCAGUAUCCCAUGGUGUGGAUUCCCGUGGUGUGGAUUCCCGUGGUGUGGAUUCCCGUGGUGUGGAUGGAGCACACUGUGCUCAUUCACUUGCCUGUCGGUGGGCACGUGGGCAGCUCCCAUCUCUCAGCUCCUG
rnacentral:lncRNA from 1 species